GACGAACGCUGGCGGCGUGCUUAACACAUGCAAGUCGAGCAGUAAGGCCCUUUCGGGGGUACACGAGCGGCGAACGGGUGAGUAACACGUGGGUGACCUGCCCUCAGCUCUGGGAUAAGCCUGGGAAACCGGGUCUAAUACUGGAUAUGACUCCAUGACGCAUGUUGUGGGGUGGAAAGCCUUGUGCGGCUGAGGAUGGGCCCGCGGCCUAUCAGCUUGUUGGNGGGUGAUGGCCUACCAAGGCGACGACGGGUAGCCGGCCUGAGAGGGCGACCGGCCACACUGGGACUGAGACACGGCCCAGACUCCUACGGGAGCAGCAGUGGGAUCUUGCGCAAUGGGCGAAAGCCUGACGCAGCGACGCCGCGUGAGGGAUGACGCU
rnacentral:rRNA from 1 species